rnacentral:rRNA from 1 species
CCUACGGGAGGCAGCAGUGAGGAAUAUUGGUCAAUGGGCGAGAGCCUGAACCAGCCAAGUAGCGUGAAGGAUGACUGCCCUGUGGGUUGUAAACUUCUUUUAUAUGGGAAUAAAAGGUUCCACGGGUGGGAGUUUGUAUGUACCAUAUGAAUAAGGAUCGGCUAACUCCGUGCCAGCAGCCGCGGUAAUACGGAGGAUGCGAGCGUUAUCCGGAUUUAUUGGGUUUAAAGGGUGCGUAGGUGGAUUGUUAAGUCAGUUGUGAAAGGCGCAGGCUCAACCUGUGUAUGGCACUUGAUACUUGCAAGCUGGAAUGCGAUAGAGGUAAAGGGAAUUCCUGGUGUAGCGGUGAAAUGCUUAGAUAUCAGGAGGAACAUCGGUGGCGUAGGCGCUAUACUGGGCCGUAAUUGACGCUGAGGAACGAAAGCCAGGGUAGCAAAUGGGAUUAGAUACCCGAGUAGUC